AAGGGAUGAGGUCGGGCUGAUGGGGUCGGCCCCGCUCUGCUCGUGUAGGGGUGGUGGACUGGGGACGGGCCCCACUCUGGGCGCGGGGGCAUCUCCUGGCGGGCUCCCUACAGACCGUGGGUCCUCGGGCUCCACUCUUUGAGGGCCGACCCUCCCACCGGGGGGAGUGUUUGCCCCUGGUUUCUCAUGGGGCGGACAGCUGUUGACCCCGGUGGGGCCCACUCUGACCUCGGAUUCUGUCUCUGUGGCUGCUGCAGCUCUGCCUGGGGGGCUCUGUGUGGGCGGCUUGGGUCGCAACACCUCUCCUCCUGGAACUGAAGGUGUGUGGGCUCCCUGCUGCUGGGAUUCCUUCCUCUGCUUGCUGGAUGGGCGUAGUGGGCCGAGCCCCUCACAUCACCCCUGGCUCACAAGUGGCAUUGUUCAUGCACCAACGUCUGCCUCACCCUUUGGGUGAAUAAUAUCAAGCUACAGCCUUACUAACGUUGUAGUGGGUAACUCAAUGCCUGAACAGGCUUUCCAAAUCCAACUGUAAGUAUUACUGAUACUUAUCACUACCAAUAUCAAUAAUGUGUGAAUAUGGAAAUUGUGGUGUUGUAUGUCAUGACUUUUAUUAAGUAGUAUGGGAUAUGUAUAACAAUGCACAUAUGUAUGUAUAUGAUAUGUAUAUGUUUGUAUGAGUAUGUGCACACACCUUAACACUAUUAUUGGUAUUAGUAUUAAUCUCCAAGGUAAACCACAGUACAACAGGUUUUUAGUUAUGAAUGUGUUAGCCUAAGGUACAUCCCUGCUUAUUUAUUUUGCUUCGAUUGUUUACUUAACAGAUUUGCUUGGUUUCAGCAGCUGGUUGCACCCCUUAAUAAUAUAUAUUUUAUAUAUACUCCUGUUGUUAAAGCAAAUCUGUCCAUCACAAUAUGGCAUUCAGCAUAAGAUAUGUUGCUUGUUAAACUGCUGGACAGAACGAAAAGAAGAAAAAAAAAAGAAGAAAAAAAAAAUUCUCUGGAGGCUGGAUGUCGACAUUGUGUAGGUGUGUUUUCCGAAGAAACAUACCAGUUGUCAGUUUUACCUAGAAACUGUCAGAACAUGAUUUCUACAUUUCUUCCCUGGAACACCCAUUUGUUUUUCUCCCCGUCUUUCAGUUUACAUACCUGUGUCACUACGUGUUUCAAGAUAGAGUGAUGCCCUUAAGUCUGGUUUCUGGUAAAUAUGGAUUAAAGUCAGUUUCAGUAAUGUAGAUAGCGGAUGGUCAGUCAGUGAAGCUUUUUUAUGAAGCAUAAAAUAUGAUUUCAUAGCAUUAAUUUGAGGUAAUUAUGUUACAUGCAAGGCAAACUGGGACUAGAACUGCACUCGCCAUGAGCGUGGAAACAGGCUGCUAAGGCCUACAAACAAAACCAGAGCGGAGGACCCAAAUGCACAACCCAUAGACAGAACUGACAAUCAACUGUUUAAUAGAUGAACAAAUAAACACAAAGAGAAAUACGAACUAAGGGGGCUG
rnacentral:lncRNA from 1 species